rnacentral:hammerhead_ribozyme from 1 species
AUGCAUCUGACGAGUCCCAAAUAGAACGAAACGCGUGUCCUAGAU